rnacentral:tRNA from 1 species
GGGUCUAUAGCUCAGUAGGUUAGAGCAGGCGACUCAUAAUCGCUUGGUCAGGGGUUCGAGUCCCUUUAGACCCA